rnacentral:lncRNA from 1 species
UUGUCAGAUAACUGGUCAAGGUUUAUGAUAACGUCCCACUCUUCGAAUGAGAUGGACAAGAUCGAUGCAGCCAUCCAGACCGAAGGCAUCACCAGCGCUGAGGAAUACCAUUUUGCAGAUGACCAUCCUGGUAAUCCCCCUGAGUGAUUUAUGCCCUCUUCUUCUUUUGUUCUCUAUGAUCCGAGGCCCCUAGUCUUGUAAUAGAAUCUCCAUAGGAACAAAUAUAAUUUUCUUCUUUUGAUGAAUAUAAAUCAUGCUUUUAAAUAUAUGAAUUAAAGUCUUUAACACAUGCUCAGCCCCUGGUUAUAACU